CCUAUUGAUCCCGGAAGUUUGAAUCUGUGAAUGUCUUUCCAACUUUACCAAAGGUAAACCAGCUCGGUCCUCAGACACGUCUUUAUCAAAACAAGAUGAAAAAGUUCCUGUUGUUGCUUCUCUUCUGUCACGUCUCAUCUCCAGUGAAACACUCACUCAAGUUUUUCCGCACUGCAUCUUCUGGAGUCCCAAACUUCCCAGAGUUUAUGGCUGCUGCAAUGGUGGAUGAAGUUCUGAUGGGUUACUGCGACAGCAAGAAAAAGAUAGUAGAACCCAGACAGGACUGGAUGAAAACAAUUUUAGAAAACAAUCCUCAGCAGUUGGAGUUUUACACUCAAACAUGUUUGAAUGAGCCAAACUCCUUUAAAGCCCAAAUAGAUCACUUCAAGCAACGCUUCAACCAAAGUGGAGUCUGUCUCUCAGGUGUCCACAUUAUCCAGAGUAUGAGUGGCUGUGAGUGGGAUGAUGAGACUGGAGAGGUCAAUGGUUUUAAUCAGUAUGGUUAUGAUGGAGAAGAUAUCCUAGCAUUGGACCUGAAGACAUUGACAUGGAUCGCUCUGAAACCACAAGCUGUCAUCAUCAAACAGAGAUGGGAUGCUGAGAUAUCUAGAAUAAAACGCAAUGAGAUUUACCUCACUAAGAUUUAUCCUGAAUGGCUGAAGAUGUAUUUGGACUACGGCAAGAGCUCUCUGCUGAGAAAAGAUCUUCCCUCAGUGUCUCUCCUCCAGAAGUCUCCCUCCUCUCCAGUCAGCUGCCACGCUACAGGUUUCUACCCUGACAGAGCCAUGAUGUUCUGGAGGAAAGAUGGAGAGGAGCUUCAUGAGGACGUGGACCUCGGAGAGAUCCUCCCCAACCACGAUGGAUCCUUCCAGAUGAGUGUUGACCUGGACCUUUCAUCAGUCCCAGCUGAAGACUGGAGGAGGUACGACUGUGUGUAUCAGCUCUCUGGUGUGGAGGACGACAUCAUCACCAAACUGGACAAAGCAGAGAUCAGGACCAACAGAGAGAAACCUUCUGACAUGACCAUUCCCAUCACUGCUGGAGUGGCUGUUCUUGCUGUCAUCAUCCUCGUCGCUGCCACUGGAUUCAUUUUUUACAAAAAGAAGAAAGCCAAACUCCCUCCACAAUCUCCUGACAACAGCUCUGAGCUCUCUGAGAAACUGAAUCCAGAGACCUGAUUUACAAACACAUCCUGCACUGGUAAAGCAGUAAACUCUUCACAUCUCCAGUUAAACAGUUUGUGUGUGUGAUUAACAUCCGUUCUGUAUUAUAGGUUUAUAUACUCAAACAUUCAGUUCAUAUACUUACUAUAUAACUAUAUCACUCUAUUUGUACUCUAUCUAGAUAUGCAUAUGGUUUGGGUCUUAUAGAUAAACUACUGUAACAUGUAUGGAACCAUCCCAAUGAAGUAGAGGUAAAUAAAAUGUCCUCUCUGGUGUUUGACAACUUGACAGCAACAUCCUGAUUAUUUAGCUUAA